AGAACGAACGCUGGCGGCGUGCCUAACACAUGCAAGUCGAACGGAGUUAAUGUUGUAGCAAUACGGGAUUAACUUAGUGGCGGACGGGUGAGUAACACGUAGGUAACCUACCCUUAAGCGGGGGGCAACUCAGGGAAACUUGAGCUAAUACCCCAUAAGACCACGUACUGGGAUGUAGGUGGUAAAAGGAGCGAUCUGCUUAGGGAUGGGCCUGCGGCCUAUCAGGUAGUUGGUGGGGUAAUGGCCUACCAAGCCGGAGACGGGAAGCCGGUCUGAGAGGACGAACGGCCAUACUGGAACUGAGACACGGUCCAGACUCCUACGGGAGGCAGCAGUGGGGAAUUUUGCACAAUGGGGGAAACCCUGAUGCAGCGACGCCGCGUGGAGGAUGAAGGCCUUCGGGUUGUAAACUCCUUUUCUCAGGAACGAUGAUGACGGUACCUGAGGAAUAAGCCACGGCUAACUCUGUGCCAGCAGCCGCGGUAAGACAGAGGUGGCGAGCGUUGUUCGGAAUUACUGGGCUUAAAGGGCGCGUAGGUGGUAGUGUAAGUCUAGGGUGGAAUCCCAGGGCUUAACCCUGGAACUGCCUUGGAAACUGUACUACUUGAGUCAGUGAGGGGAGGGUAGAAUUCCUGGUGUAGCGGUGAAAUGCGUAGAUAUCAGGAGGAAGGCCUGCGGCGAAGGCGGCCCUCUGGCGCUGGACUGACACUGAGGCGCGAAAGCGUGGGGAGCAAACAGGAUUAGAUACCCUGGUAGUCCACGCCCUAAACGGUGGGCACUAGGUGUAGGGCUCGUAAGGGUUCUGUGCCGAAGGGAAACCAUUAAGUGCCCCGCCUGGGGAGUACGGCCGCAAGGUUG
rnacentral:rRNA from 1 species